AUGUACGUGCUCCGGUUCCAGGAGGUGGUGCCGCUCAACACCGGCAACGUGUUCGGCGCCGAGGACGUCCGGCCGGCACUGGCGUGGGAGGCGCUCAUCCGCGACACGCUCACGCGGACGCAGCCGUCCUGCUCUGCUCGAGGCCCAAGUACAGGUACCGCAGCCACCCGGCCACUACGACCCGCGACGGCUCCGACGAGUUGUUCCCCGGCGGCACCGACACCGAAACCGACGACGACGCGCCCUUCAGCUUCCCGGUGCACCCCGAGGGGUACGUCGUCGCCACCCCCAGGAUGCUCGGGGCCAUGGAGGACCUGGUGGACGAGCAGCCAAGCGCGCAGCAGAGGGCGCUCCUGA
rnacentral:rRNA from 1 species